rnacentral:rRNA from 1 species
UACGGGGGGAGCAAGCGUUGUUCGGAUUUACUGGGCGUAAAGGGCGCGUAGGCGGCCACCGCAAGUCAGUUGUGAAAUCUCUGGGCUUAACCCAGAACGGUCAGCUGAUACUGCGGGGCUAGAGUGCAGAAGGGGCAACUGGAAUUCUCGGUGUAGCGGUGAAAUGCGUAGAUAUCGAGAGGAACACCUGCGGCGAAGGCGGGUUGCUGGGCUGACACUGACGCUGAUGCGCGAAAGCCAGGGGAGCAAACGGG